rnacentral:rRNA from 1 species
UACGUAGGGUGCGAGCGUUAAUCGGAAUUACUGGGCGUAAAGUGUGCGCAGGCGGCCGAGCAAGUCGAGUGUGAAAGCCCCGAGCUUAACUUGGGAACUGCGCUCGAAAUUACUUGGCUAGAGUGUGGCAGAGGGAGGUGGAAUUCCACGUGUAGCGGUGAAAUGCGUAGAGAUGUGGAGGAACACCGAUGGCGAAGGCAGCCUCCUGGGCCAACACUGACGCUCAUGCACGAAAGCGUGGGGAGCAAACAGG